AAAUUGAAGAGUUUGAUCAUGGCUCAGAUUGAACGCUGGCGGCAGGCCUAACACAUGCAAGUCGAACGGUAACAGGAAGCAGCUUGCUGCUUCGCUGACGAGUGGCGGACGGGUGAGUAAUGUCUGGGAAACUGCCUGAUGGAGGGGGAUAACUACUGGAAACGGUGGCUAAUACCGCAUAACGUCGCAAGACCAAAGAGGGGGACCUUCGGGCCUCUUGCCAUCAGAUGUGCCCAGAUGGGAUUAGCUUGUUGGUGAGGUAACGGCUCACCAAGGCGACGAUCCCUAGCUGGUCUGAGAGGAUGACCAGCCACACUGGAACUGAGACACGGUCCAGACUCCUACGGGAGGCAGCAGUGGGGAAUAUUGCACAAUGGGCGCAAGCCUGAUGCAGCCAUGCCGCGUGUAUGAAGAAGGCCUUCGGGUUGUAAAGUACUUUCAGCGGGGAGGAAGGUGUUGUGGUUAAUAACCGCAGCAAUUGACGUUACCCGCAGAAGAAGCACCGGCUAACUCCGUGCCAGCAGCCGCGGUAAUACGGAGGGUGCAAGCGUUAAUCGGAAUUACUGGGCGUAAAGCGCACGCAGGCGGUCUGUCAAGUCGGAUGUGAAAUCCCCGGGCUCAACCUGGGAACUGCAUUCGAAACUGGCAGGCUUGAGUCUUGUAGAGGGGGGUAGAAUUCCAGGUGUAGCGGUGAAAUGCGUAGAGAUCUGGAGGAAUACCGGUGGCGAAGGCGGCCCCCUGGACAAAGACUGACGCUCAGGUGCGAAAGCGUGGGGAGCAAACAGGAUUAGAUACCCUGGUAGUCCACGCCGUAAACGAUGUCUACUUGGAGGUUGUGCCCUUGAGGCGUGGCUUCCGGAGCUAACGCGUUAAGUAGACCGCCUGGGGAGUACGGCCGCAAGGUUAAAACUCAAAUGAAUUGACGGGGGCCCGCACAAGCGGUGGAGCAUGUGGUUUAAUUCGAUGCAACGCGAAGAACCUUACCUGGUCUUGACAUCCACAGAAGAAUCCAGAGAUGGAUUUGUGCCUUCGGGAACUGUGAGACAGGUGCUGCAUGGCUGUCGUCAGCUCGUGUUGUGAAAUGUUGGGUUAAGUCCCGCAACGAGCGCAACCCUUAUCCUUUGUUGCCAGCGGUCCGGCCGGGAACUCAAAGGAGACUGCCAGUGAUAAACUGGAGGAAGGUGGGGAUGACGUCAAGUCAUCAUGGCCCUUACGACCAGGGCUACACACGUGCUACAAUGGCGCAUACAAAGAGAAGCGACCUCGCGAGAGCAAGCGGACCUCAUAAAGUGCGUCGUAGUCCGGAUUGGAGUCUGCAACUCGACUCCAUGAAGUCGGAAUCGCUAGUAAUCGUGGAUCAGAAUGCCACGGUGAAUACGUUCCCGGGCCUUGUACACACCGCCCGUCACACCAUGGGAGUGGGUUGCAAAAGAAGUAGGUAGCUUAACCUUCGGGAGGGCGCUUACCACUUUGUGAUUCAUGACUGGGGUGAAGUCGUAACAAGGUAACCGUAGGGGAACCUGCGGUUGGAUCACCUCCUUACCU
rnacentral:rRNA from 1 species